GAUUAGCUAGUUGGKGGGGUAAWGGCCUACCAAGGCGACGAUCMGUAGCGGGUCUGAGAGGAUGAUCCGCCACACUGGGACUGAGACACGGCCCAGACUCCUACGGGAGGCAGCAGUGGGGAAUUUUGGACAAUGGGCGMGACMCUGAUCCAGCCAYGCCGCGUGAGUGAYGAAGGACUUCGGNUUGUAAAGCUCUUUCAGACGGAAAGAAGUCGGGUGUGUCAAUACCGUGCNUAGAUGACGGUACUGUGAGAAGAAGCACCGGCUAACUA
rnacentral:rRNA from 1 species